rnacentral:rRNA from 1 species
CCUACGGGUGGCAGCAGUGGGGAAUAUUGGACAAUGGGGGCAACCCUGAUCCAGCCAUGCCGCGUGUGUGAAGAAGGCCCUCGGGUUGUAAAGCACUUUCAGUGAGGAAGAACGCCUGGUGGUUAAUACCCAUCAGGAAAGACAUCACUCACAGAAGAAGCACCGGCUAACUCCGUGCCAGCAGCCGCGGUAAUACGGAGGGUGCGAGCGUUAAUCGGAAUUACUGGGCGUAAAGCGCGCGUAGGUGGCUUGAUAAGCCGGUUGUGAAAGCCCCGGGCUCAACCUGGGAACGGCAUCCGGAACUGUCGAGCUAGAGUGCAGGAGAGGAAGGUAGAAGUCCCGGUGUAGCGGUGAAAUGCGUAGAGGUCGGGAGGAAUACCAGUGGCGAAGGCGGCCUUCUGGACUGACACUGACACUGAGGUGCGAAAGCGUGGGUAGCAAACAGGAUUAGAUACCCCGGUAGUC